CCAGAUUGAUGCUGACGUGAAAUGGCAGAAGAGCACAUCGACGCGGAGCUGGAAAUGUCCAUUCACACAUGCACGCUCCUCAGCGCUCCAGGCAACCGAGCGCUGCUGCCACGGUCUUGGGGGCUUUGCACAGAAACUGGAGAUUUUAACUAGGUCUGAUCUCCAGGAGCUGCCCUCAGGGCUCCUGACGGAAGGAGGCUGCCCAGCGUUAGGCUGUGAUCGCUGAGACUUGACAGGGCUGAUCUAUGCAAAACAACGGGAAGGGAAAUGGUGCUUCAGGACUUGAGACCUUCACCUGCCUUGCUCUGGCACAAUUUGCAGGGCUUCGGAGAGCUCAUCGGGGGGACCGCGUCCCUCUGCCUGGAUUUCCCCCCUCUUCUCCCCCUGACACACGCAGCACACACAGGCAGUGCCCAGACAACGUGCAGAAAGGCGAGGAGGGGUCCUCCAGAAGAGGCAGCAGGGUGGGGAAGCCUCCGGCCAGCUCCAGUGCCCCCUGGGAGCCUCUCCCAAAUGCCUGGCGUCCUCCUCCUGCCCCAUCUGCAUCCUCAUACACCACCGGGCUCUGCAAGAGCACCUCGUGUCUCCCCCAGCCGCAGGCAGAGCCCCUGCUGCCAAAAGCUGAGGAUGCCCCAAGCCUGCAGAGCUCGGCUGAGCCCCCGGAGCACUGCUGGCCCCAUAGGGGUGGGGAUGGGGGGAGAGAGAGGGGGGCGUUAUUUUGUUUUCCCCAUUAAAACUGCCAACUGGGGCAAGGCGGGAGGGCAGGAGAGCCCUGGGCACCGCUGCCCCGCUUCCUGUGCCGCUCUGCCUCCCUUCCUUACAGCCGAUCGCAGUUUUAAGGGGAAAAAAACAUGUUUUGAUUCAAGUCACGUGCCGAGCGCCGCGCUCCCCGGUCGCCGUGGUUUGUACGGGCGCCUCGCUGCUUUGUUUGGCGGCUGCAGGCUUGGGGUCGGUAACGGGGGGGAUGCGGUGCCGCGUGCCGGGGAGCGGGGCCAUGCAGCCCCCCCUUGUGCAGCCCCUGCAGUCCGGCUGCCUCGGGGCUGGGGCACAGCGGGGUUCGGCCCCGAGCGCUUCACGCUGAAGGCAAACCCCGUGCAGCGUUUGCUUUUCUUGCUUUCCUUCAGCUUCCAAAAAAAAAAAAAAUUAAAAAAAAAAAUGGGUGGGCCAGCUUGAAACAACCCCAGAAACCUGUGACGUUUCACAAAGCAUAUGCUGCCUUGGAGGAGAAGGGGGCUCAUCUGCACUCCAGAACGCCGUGUUUGUUUUUCUGGCGAGGACACCGCCAGGCCCGACGCAGCCAUGGACGCGGCGCUCAUCGUCCUGUGCUCCCUGCUGGUGCCGGCGGCCGUGGCAGAUGUGGGCACCCAGGAGAAGGAGGAAGACCCCUUUAACUACGACUACCAAAGCCUGAGGAUCGGCGGGCUGGU